rnacentral:rRNA from 2 species
GGUUAAGCGACUAAGCGUACACGGUGGAUGCCCUGGCAGUCAGAGGCGAUGAAGGACGUGCUAAUCUGCGAAAAGCGUCGGUAAGGUGAUAUGAACCGUUACAGCCGGCGAUGUCCGAAUGGGGAAACCCAGUGCAAUUCGUUGCACUAUCGUUAACUGAAUACAUAGGUUAACGAGGCGAACCGGGGGAACUGAAACAUCUAAGUACCCCGAGGAAAAGAAAUCAACCGAGAUUCCCCCAGUAGCGGCGAGCGAACGGGGAGCAGCCCAGAGUCUGAAUCAGCUUGUGUGUUAGUGGAACGGUCUGGAAAGUCCGACGGUACAGGGUGAUAGUCCCGUACACCAAAAUGCACAGGCUGUGAACUCGAAGAGUAGGGCGGGACACGUGGUAUCCUGUCUGAAUAUGGGGGGACCAUCCUCCAAGGCUAAAUACUCCUGACUGACCGAUAGUGAACCAGUACCGUGAGGGAAAGGCGAAAAGAACCCCGGCGAGGGGAGUGAAAAAGAACCUGAAACCGUGUACGUACAAGCAGUGGGAGCACCUUCGGGUGUGACUGCGUACCUUUUGUAUAAUGGGUCAGCGACUUAUAUUCUGUAGCAAGGUUAACCGUAUAGGGGAGCCGCAGGGAAACCGAGUCUUAACUGGGCGUUAAGUUGCAGGGUAUAGACCCGAAACCCGGUGAUCUAGCCAUGGGCAGGUUGAAGGUUGGGUAACACUAACUGGAGGACCGAACCGACUAAUGUUGAAAAAUUAGCGGAUGACUUGUGGCUGGGGGUGAAAGGCCAAUCAAACCGGGAGAUAGCUGGUUCUCCCCGAAAGCUAUUUAGGUAGCGCCUCGUGAAUUCAUCUUCGGGGGUAGAGCACUGUUUCGGCUAGGGGGUCAUCCCGACUUACCAACCCGAUGCAAACUACGAAUACCGAAGAAUGUUAUCACGGGAGACACACGGCGGGUGCUAACGUCCGUCGUGAAGAGGGAAACAACCCAGACCGCCAGCUAAGGUCCCAAAGUCAUGGUUAAGUGGGAAACGAUGUGGGAAGGCACAGACAGCCAGGAUGUUGGCUUAGAAGCAGCCAUCAUUUAAAGAAAGCGUAAUAGCUCACUGGUCGAGUCGGCCUGCGCGGAAGAUGUAACGGGGCUAAACCAUGCACCGAAGCUGCGGCAGCGACACUAUGUGUUGUUGGGUAGGGGAGCGUUCUGUAAGCCUGCGAAGGUGUGCUGUGAGGCAUGCUGGAGGUAUCAGAAGUGCGAAUGCUGACAUAAGUAACGAUAAAGCGGGUGAAAAGCCCGCUCGCCGGAAGACCAAGGGUUCCUGUCCAACGUUAAUCGGGGCAGGGUGAGUCGACCCCUAAGGCGAGGCCGAAAGGCGUAGUCGAUGGGAAACAGGUUAAUAUUCCUGUACUUGGUGUUACUGCGAAGGGGGGACGGAGAAGGCUAUGUUAGCCGGGCGACGGUUGUCCCGGUUUAAGCAUGUAGGCUGGUUAUCCAGGCAAAUCCGGAUAAUCAAGGCUGAGGUGUGAUGACGAGGCACUACGGUGCUGAAGUAACAAAUGCCCUGCUUCCAGGAAAAGCCUCUAAGCAUCAGGUAACAUCAAAUCGUACCCCAAACCGACACAGGUGGUCAGGUAGAGAAUACCAAGGCGCUUGAGAGAACUCGGGUGAAGGAACUAGGCAAAAUGGUGCCGUAACUUCGGGAGAAGGCACGCUGGUGUGUAGGUGAAGUCCCUGCGGAUGGAGCUGAGACCAGUCGAAGAUACCAGCUGGCUGCAACUGUUUAUUAAAAACACAGCACUGUGCAAACACGAAAGUGGACGUAUACGGUGUGACGCCUGCCCGGUGCCGGAAGGUUAAUUGAUGGGGUUAUCCGUAAGGAGAAGCUCUUGAUCGAAGCCCCGGUAAACGGCGGCCGUAACUAUAACGGUCCUAAGGUAGCGAAAUUCCUUGUCGGGUAAGUUCCGACCUGCACGAAUGGCGUAAUGAUGGCCAGGCUGUCUCCACCCGAGACUCAGUGAAAUUGAACUCGCUGUGAAGAUGCAGUGUACCCGCGGCAAGACGGAAAGACCCCGUGAACCUUUACUAUAGCUUGACACUGAACAUUGAGCCUUGAUGUGUAGGAUAGGUGGGAGGCUUUGAAGCGUGGACGCCAGUCUGCGUGGAGCCAACCUUGAAAUACCACCCUUUAAUGUUUGAUGUUCUAACGUUGGCCCCUUACCGGGGUUGCGGACAGUGUCUGGUGGGUAGUUUGACUGGGGCGGUCUCCUCCCAAAGCGUAACGGAGGAGCACGAAGGUUAGCUAAUCCUGGUCGGACAUCAGGAGGUUAGUGCAAUGGCAUAAGCUAGCUUGACUGCGAGCGUGACGGCGCGAGCAGGUGCGAAAGCAGGUCAUAGUGAUCCGGUGGUUCUGAAUGGAAGGGCCAUCGCUCAACGGAUAAAAGGUACUCCGGGGAUAACAGGCUGAUACCGCCCAAGAGUUCAUAUCGACGGCGGUGUUUGGCACCUCGAUGUCGGCUCAUCACAUCCUGGGGCUGAAGUAGGUCCCAAGGGUAUGGCUGUUCGCCAUUUAAAGUGGUACGCGAGCUGGGUUUAGAACGUCGUGAGACAGUUCGGUCCCUAUCUGCCGUGGGCGCUGGAGAAUUGAGGGGGGCUGCUCCUAGUACGAGAGGACCGGAGUGGACGCAUCACUGGUGUUCGGGUUGUCAUGCCAAUGGCACUGCCCGGUAGCUAAAUGCGGAAGAGAUAAGUGCUGAAAGCAUCUAAGCACGAAACUUGCCCCGAGAUGAGUUCUCCCUGAGACUUUAAGUCUCCUGAAGGAACGUUAAAGACGAUGACGUUGAUAGGCCGGGUGUGUAAGCGCAGCGAUGCGUUGAGCUAACCGGUACUAAUGAACCGUGAGGCUUAACCUU